UACGGAGGGUGCAAGCGUUGUUCGGAAUCAUUGGGCGUAAAGCGCGUGUAGGUGGCUUGGCAAGUCGGUUGUGAAAUCCCGGGGCCCAACCCCCGGAACUGCAUUCGAAACUGCCUCGCUAGAGUCCCGGAGAGGAAGGCGGAAUUCCCGGUGUAGAGGUGAAAUUCGUAGAUAUCGGGAGGAACACCAGCGGCGAAGGCGGCCUUCUGGACGGUGACUGACACUGAGACGCGAAAGCGUGGGGAGCAAACAGG
rnacentral:rRNA from 1 species